rnacentral:rRNA from 1 species
AACUUAAGCAUAUCAAUAAGCGGAGGAAAAGAAACCAACAGGGAUUGCCCCAGUAACGGCGAGUGAAGCGGCAAGAGCUCAAAUUUGAAAGCUGGCUCCUUCGGGGUCCGCAUUGUAAUUUGCAGAGGAUGCUUCGGGAGCGGUCCCCAUCUAAGUGCCCUGGAACGGGACGUCAUAGAGGGUGAGAAUCCCGUAUGGGAUGGGGUGUCCGCGCCCGUGUGAAGCUCCUUCGACGAGUCGAGUUGUUUGGGAAUGCAGCUCUAAAUGGGUGGUAAAUUUCAUCUAAAGCUAAAUAUUGGCCGGAGACCGAUAGCGCACAAGUAGAGUGAUCGAAAGAUGAAAAGCACUUUGAAAAGAGAGUUAAAAAGCACGUGAAAUUGUUGAAAGGGAAGCGCUUGCGACCAGACUCGCUCGCGGGGUUCAGCCGGCAUUCGUGCCGGUGUACUUCCCCGCGGGCGGGCCAGCGUCGGUUUGGGCGGUCGGUCAAAGGCCCUCGGAAGGUAACGCCCCUAGGGGCGUCUUAUAGCCGAGGGUGCAAUGCGACCUGCCUGGACCGAGGAACGCGCUUCGGCUCGGACGCUGGCAUAAUGGUCGUAAGCGACCCGUCUUGAAACACGGACCAAGGAGUCUAACAUCUACGCGAGUGUUCGGGUGUCAAACCCGUGCGCGCAGUGAAAGCGAACGGAGGUGGGAACCCUUUGGGUGCACCAUCGACCGAUCCUGAUGUCUUCGGAUGGAUUUGAGUAAGAGCGUAGCUGUUGGGACCCGAAAGAUGGUGAACUAUGCCUGAAUAGGGCGAAGCCAGAGGAAACUCUGGUGGAGGCUCGUAGCGGUUCUGACGUGCAAAUCGAUCGUCGAAUG